GGGAACGGAAGAGGCUGGCUUUUUCUCUCUUUUUUUUGUUGGCUUUUUCUGGUGGAGCUGCAGCUGGAGAGAGAAAGAGAAAGAGAACGGCUGAGCCAGAGGGACUCUUUGUGUUGGAGUGGUGCUGAGACAGAAAGCACAGGGAAAGAGGGAGCAGGGAAGGAAAGGAAAGGAAAGGCUGGAAUGGUGUGAGAGUCCGCUCCGAGGCGUUUUCGUCGCUGUUGCUAAGGGCCGCACCUCCGGGACCGAACCAUGGAUGAUGACUUCGAGCGGCGCAGGGAGAUGAGGAGGCAGAAGCGAGAGGAGAUGCGCCUGGAGGCUGAGAGGAUGGCCUAUCGGCGGAACGAGGAGGACGAGGAGGAGGCGGCUCGUGAGCGCAGGCGAAGAGCUCGGCAGGAGCGCCUGCGCAGCAAAGACAGCGAGGAGGCGCCGAACCCUCCAGAGAGUGUGGAGCUAAACAACAGCCACAGUGUGACUGUUACAGAGACGGUGUCCAGCUCAGUGGUCAGCUCUAGCCAGGCAGGUGAAGAUGACGAUGAGGAGCAGGCCCUGCUAGAUCGCCUCGCCAAGCGCGAGGAGCGCCGGCAGAAGAGGAUGAAGGAGGCGCUGGACAGACAGAAGGACACGGAUUCCCCCGACUCCACUCACUACAGCACGGAGGAGUGCUCCAGCAGCCGCCGCUAUCACUACCACGAGCAGGAGGAGCAGCCUGCACUCAACAGCAAGGAGCAGGAGAAUGAGGAGGCCAAGGAGGAGGAGGAAGAGGAGGCUGCAGCAGAAGAGGAGGAGGAGGAAGAGCAGAAAGUGGAGGAAGUGAUGGAGGAGAAGCCGCGGAGGUCUUACCUGAGGGCACAGGAAUCCGCUGAGGAGAAACCUCAAAUAGAAGAUGAGGGCAGCACUGAGCAGGAGGCUGCAAGUGAAAAGUGUGAGAAUGUAAAUGAAGACACAGCUGAUUCCACAGUCUGCUCAAAGCCAGACGUGGACGAGGACACAGCAGGAGUGAAUGAGGAUGUAGAGGAAGGAGAGGAGGAUGAGUUAGAGGAGCUCGAGGAGAAUGCAGAUGAUGAAAAUCAGGAGACAGCUGUGUCUCAGGAAGCAGAGAGAGAGUUUACAAGCAAUGAUUUAGGUUUGAUGGAGGACGAAAACGUGGGGAGGAAGAGCAAGCAGCAGAAUGGAGGAGUGUAUGAGGACAGCAAGCACAAGAAGGUGGAGAGAACCACGAGCCGUGGCAGCCUACGCUCUCCCGAGGUCCCGACAGCGGAGGAUCAGGACGGGGAGGGAGCUCGUCUGGAGGCAGAGCGGAAGCUGGAGGAGCUGAAGCGGAGGAGAGACGAGACGGAGAUCGAGGAGUUUGAGAGGAUGAGGCAGAAGCAGCAGGAGGCAGAGGCCGAGCUGGAGGAGCUGAAGAGGAAGAGAGAGGAGAGGAGGAAGGUGCUGGAAGAAGAGGAGAAGAAUAAGAAGCAAGAGGAGGCUGAGAGGAAGGCUAAAGAGGAGGAUGAGAAGAGAAGGAUGAAGGAGGAGAUCGAGAGGAGAAGAGCAGAAGCAGCAGAGCGGAGGCAGAAGGUUGGGGAGGAAGUGGACGGAGACACCAGGAAACCCUUUGUUUGUGUGAGCCCCAGGGGAUCCUCCUUGAAGAUUGGUGAAAGAGCAGAAUUCCUCAACAAGUCAGCACAGAAAAGUGGUGUGAAGACGUCUCACUCUCCUGUGGUGUCAAAGAUUGACAACAGAUUGGAGCAGUACACCAGUGCUGUGCAGACUAAUAAGGACGCACGCUCGCCACGGUCCGGCGCUAUUGACCUGCCCAUGGUCACUGAUGGCAUUCGGAACAUCAAGAGCAUGUGGGAGAAGGGAAAUGUCUUCGGCUCUGGCCCCGGGACACCGUCCAGCAACAAGGAUGCAGCUGGGAUAAAGGUGGGCGUGGCAGGCCGGAUCAACGAUUGGCUGAAUAAAACCCCAGAGACGGGCAAAAUGUCGGGAGGGAGACCUGCAGACCUGAAACCCGGCGAUGUGACCAGCAAGCGCAGUCUAUGGGAAAACAAAGGCUCCUCUGCUACCAAGCCCUCUCCAUGCUAGUUGUCUGCAGAAUUGGGCUCCAUGAGGAGGUGACAAGCAGAGGAGAGAGCAAAUCUUUUGCCAAUGGAAUGGGCCACUAACUUUUCAAGAAGCCACAGCACCAGGGACCAAGAGACAGCAGCAUCUUCCUUUUUUAUAUGUAUUUACUCAAACCAAAAAUAAUAGUCUGCGUUUCCCACUGCCCAUACAUCUCAGAGACAAGAGAGAAAAUAGAACAGGGUUGUAUUUUUACCACUGCAUGUCGCAUAGUCCUAAUUACAGCGUAGCGCUUAGCAUAAAGCCUCAUUUACAGUAGAAACUAGUCUGAAAUGUGGACCAAAUGACCAAAAGGUUUUUUUUUUCUUUUCAUUUUUAGAUAAGAAUAGAUGCAACCUAUUUAAAGGUCUCAUGUAAUUUCAUGUCAUGUUAUAAACAUUUGUUGCUGUUUCUUUGUUUGUUUUUUUACUUUAAAGCUCUUCUCUGCUAGUCACCCUUCUUCACACCCUUUUUAAUUUAUAAUUAAAGCAAAAGCUUCACAUAUUGGUAUUUUAUUAAUGUUCACCAGUACAGGGCAGAAUAUGAGCACCCAUAGAGUAGUGUAUUUUCUACUUUUGUCAUAAUGACACUUUUUUUUUAUAGUAAAACUAUGGUCUUAAUAAUAUAUGUUAGCACAUAGUGUAUGUUUUGUAAUUAACUAUAUAUUUUAUAUGUUGCCGCUUUAUACGAGAUGAUGUCCUUGCUUUUGCUCUCGAUAUCAUAUGUUGGAUCAAGUUUAAAAUCAUUAUAGACAUUCCAUAAUUAUUAUUCCACAUUUUUUUUUCUUUCACUGGUAUUACAAGCGCUUUGUCGUCAGUAUAUUCACUAUGAUAUAUCUGAUUCUUAACGGACGUAAUGGCUUCGCUCUGCACUGAAUAAAGGGAACAUACACUUUUUGACAAAAAUGAAAAACUGACAAAAAAAUAAUAGUUAAAAUAAAAAUAAAGUUCACAUUUCUUUGCAAUAUAUAACGCUUAAUAUCCUACCAAUAAGGCUGCGGUUUUCUUUAUCAUUAUCAACAACAACAACAAAAUAAACAGUAAUGUUCUCUAUGUUAAAGGAAAGGGGCAUGAAUGGCUUACUGCCAUUACUGAGGACCAAUUUAUGUUGUUUGUGUUAUUUGCUUGUUUGUUACUUUUUUGUUUAUUCUGCACCAAUUCCCUGACCAGAACACCAUCACUAUCCACUAUCAGUAACCUUGGCAAAUACAGUCUAAUACAGAGUUUGACUAUUAAGAUUGGUCUUAAUUAUUUACUGCCCAGAUCAGUGAGUGUGUUACAGGCACUCAAAAAUCUGUUCAUCGGAUUGGAUCGGAUUACUGCAGUUAUCUUUAUAUACAAUGUAAGAAAUCUGAUAAAGUGAGAUGAAUUUUAGCUCAGCAAUCUGAUUUAUUUUAGUGCAUGUAAACUCUUAAUCAGAGUAUUCUGGGAUUUCUCAAUCUGCGCAUGCAAGAAAACAGACUGUGGCAGCAAAAAUAAAGGAAGCAGUGUUUAACAGCACCAGCGGGAUUGUGACUAACACUGUCAGAACGACGCUGAGGCUGAAGGAUUUAAAUAAUCUUCAUCUUCUAGCUGAUGUAUGUUCACAUUGUAAAAAAAAAAACAGAAUGAUGUUUGAGUUUCACACAAUGUUUAUGUCAAGUCUGAUUCUGAUUUUAUUGGCUGUUUUCAAAGCAAAAAUCGGAUUAUUGCCUGACUCAUGUAAACUCAGAUUUUUUUCAUUACCUGAUUACCCAAGUUCAUGAAACAAAUGUCAGGGUUCUGCAGUAAUCAGAUUAUGAAGUGCAUAUAAAAACACACUCACUGAUAUGAAGAUUCAUGUUUUGAAAUGUGAACAGAUCUGUGUUCUGGUCUUAUUGUUGACAAUCAUAACCCCAUGUUGAGUCUUGACUUAUAAACAGUUCUGCUUUGGAUCAGGGUAACUCUGUGCAAAUCACAGCCACUAUAAUUGCAAUUAUCUUGUCAAAAUUUUGUUUAAUGACCUUGUUUAUUGUAGCUGAUAGUGUUGUACGGAACAUUGACUCAGAAACUGCAAUAAAGAGAUCAAUGAAAAAAAA